AUUGAACGCUGGCGGCAGGCCUAACACAUGCAAGUCGAACGAGUGGCGGACGGGUGAGUAAUGUCUGGGAAACUGCCCGAUGGAGGGGGAUAACUACUGGAAACGGUAGCUAAUACCGCAUACCAUCGGAUGUGCCCAGAUGGGAUUAGCUAGUAGGGGGGGUAACGGCUCACCUAGGCGACGAUCCCUAGCUGGUAUGAGAGGAUGACCAGCUACACUGUAACUGAGACACGGUCCAGACUCCUACGGGAGGCAGCAGUGGGGAAUAUUGCACAAUGGGCGCAAGCCGGAUACAGCCAUGCCGCGUGUAUGAAGAUGGCCUUCGGGUUGUAAAGUACUUUCAGCGAGGAGGCGUGACUCGCAGAAGAAGCACCGGCUAACUCCGUGCCAGCAGCCGCGGUAAUAC
rnacentral:rRNA from 1 species